rnacentral:rRNA from 1 species
UACGGGGGGGGCAAGCGUUGUUCGGAAUUACUGGGCGUAAAGGGCUCGUAGGCGGCCAACUAAGUCAGGCGUGAAAUCCCUCGGCUUAACCGGGGAACUGCGUCUGAUACUGGAUGGCUUGAGGUUGGGAGAGGGAUGCGGAAUUCCAGGUGUAGCGGUGAAAUGCGUAGAUAUCUGGAGGAACACCGGUGGCGAAGGCGGCAUCCUGGACCAAUUCUGACGCUGAGGAGCGAAAGCCAGGGGAGCAAACGGG